rnacentral:rRNA from 1 species
UGGUGGAGUGAUUUGUCUGGUUAAUUCCGUUAACGAACGAGACCUCGACCUGCUAACUAGGUCCCGGAAUCCUUCGGAUUCCGGCGACACUUCUUAGAGGGACUAUCGGUGUUUAGCCGAAGGAAGUUCGAGGCAAUAACA